CCGUUCUCCAGGAAGAGGCGGACAAACUUGGGCCUGUCCUUUAUGAGGGCCGUGAACAUGACUUCCUGCAGGUCAGCCGACUGAAGAGAAAGAGCAGGAGAGAGCAGGUGGGAGAACACCAAGGUGGAGCCUUCGAAUGUGACCUGGGCUCUUUUUUAGGUGGAGAUAGCAUGCCCACUGAAGCGCAACACGGGCCAGGUGCUGACGCAGGCACGCGGCAUGAAAAGCAUCCGGGAGCAGAAGCCAACGGACCACACUGAGAACCACUUGCAUAUGGGAAAGGAGAGGCUUGGCAGACGGACACACCUCUGUUUCCAGAUCUUGAUCCUACCAUUCUCUAGCUCAAAGAGGCAGACAAGAUUUUUGUAUCUCAGCCUCAGUUUGUUUUGUUCUGCUUGUUGAAGACGAAAUGAAGCAACCCAGGUCCCCCAUGCUCUUCCAGAGUAGCCCUCCAGACACCACCGGGAACCCCCAUCCUUUAACAUCCAUGGUGCUCUCAUUCGUUUGUCAACAAAACGAGAUCAUCUCUGCUGUGGGUUGAUGCAAGUGGCCAGGAAACUGCUGCGUGCGUUGUAAAGGGCUGCGUGACGUCGUCGUAAAAUUGACUGUUAAGUGGAUACGAGUACAGAGCUUAGAAGGAGCCAAUGUUCUAAGUCCUCUAGAAAUACCAUCUAAUUCAAUCAGUGCAACAACACAAAAGGGAAGAGAGAAGUCAUCUUACCCUCCAAGGCUGUACUCCCAGGAAACUGACUCCACUUACCUUUGUACAGAGCGUAGGAAAUGGCGUUGCUCACAACCUCGUCUCCGGCCUCUUCCAUCUUGAUAACUAUUCCUGAGGGAACCUUCCUGCCAUGAGCUCCAAGAUGCUACAUUGAGAGCCGGACUGUGGAAUGGGACCACAUGGUGAACAGGAAGAGAAUCCCAGGUCACUGGGGGUUCCUGAGGGGCAUGUGCUAGACAGCACAGGUUCAGUGCCCCAUUCGAGAUAUGCAUUCUCAACUCCACAGAAGGUGCACUCAUGAGUCUCCAGGGGAUUGUUUUCAUGAACAGCGAAUGCCUGGCAUGACAGUAAGUGAGCUGGGCAGUGCAACCAUAGAGGGCAGUGUGCUCUCUCUCCAGACCUCAUGCUGGUCAGAACAGGGUGGCCCUUCGUAGCCCCAGCAAUUCUGCUUUGCUUUACAUAAUUGUGUAUAUUUUUAUUCAAGGUUUAUAUCUGAUGAUCUUCGCAAUGUCAAGCACUUUUCUGGAUUUUAAUGGAAAAUAAAAGAAACAAAAGACCUACAGGUUUGAGCUGUAGCUCAGAGACAGUAUUUCACUAGCACAUGCCAGACCAUGGGUUCAGAUCCCAGCACCAGACAACAGAAAAAUUAUUUAAUAUAAUGGA